AAGAAAAAAAAAGUUCUGAGUUGUAACAAUAUACUUAUGCUUUAUCUUAAUUUCAGUGUUAAUACAGGUAAAGAGGUAUGCAUGACAUGACAGGUAACACACCCACCCACACCCAUGCAGUUUGAGGUUUUAUGCAUCCCACACGCGGCGGGCAAUAUAAAUCUUGUGCCUUUCCCUCCAUCAUUACAACCUUCAACAACUUCCCUACCCCUUGCUUUUGCACGUCCCCUCACACUCCAUGCAGUAGACUCAUUUCACUCACUCACUCAAUAUUCCCCAACUUCACCAACCAUAACGUCUCUCUCUCUCUCUCUCUCUCUCUCUCUCUCUCUCAAACAAAGAAACAAAGAAACAAAGAAAGAGAGGCUUAGCACAUUGAGCUUGCCAACUAUUUCACGAGACUAACGUGCACUACUGCUAAAAUUAAUAAAGUCUCUAAUAUUAAUCAAAACACUUUCCCUUCCUAUAGGCUAUAGCUAUAGCUAUAUAGCUAGCUAGACAGCCAGCAACUUGUUAUUUUAAUCCUUCCAUUUCCAUUCGCUCUUGAUGGCUGAUCAGCCACUACAAGGAGAUCAUUGCACGUUGUAAAAAUUAAUAUAUGAUUAGACGUUAAGCAAUUAAAAGUCUAGUUCUAGGAGGUCACUUUGCGCUGCAAGGAAGGCUACAUGGGUUAGAUCAACCACCAGAUCAACCCACCAGAUCAACCACCAGAUAAGCUCUUGAAUCUUUUCCAAUCGUGAACCAUAACCAUCAGAUCAACCACCUUAGAGCUUCUCCAGCGGCACAGCCCAGCCCGAGGCUAGGGGAGGAAAAAAAAAAAAAGGUGUUCCAGCGGACAGCCCAGGCCCGAGGGCAAGGUGGGACCCAGCAACCUGGGCUGGCCCGAGGGCAAGGUUGGCCCGAGCUCCAACCCUCGUUUUGGUGCUACAGUAUCGCUACAGUAUAGCUACAGUGCCGCUACAGUACCGCAGUGCUACAGUGAUGCUACAGUGUCUGGCGCUACAGUACCACUAAAAGUCCACGUGUCGCACUCUGAGCUCUCCGAUCAGAUUUUUUUCUCCAAUCCAACGGCAGCCAAUUUUUGUGCAAUAAAAAAAUGAAAACAAAUUGAAUUUUUUUAAAAAAAAAUACCAAAAAAAUACUCUUUUUUUUCUAUAAAUACCAAAAAAUUUUCCGAUUGAGAUAUGAAUUUUAUAAUAAAUAUUGAUAUGUACGAACCCAAAAAUAUUAUCUGAAAAUAUUACCCAAAUUAAUUAUUUUCAUUAAAAAAUAGGAG
rnacentral:lncRNA from 1 species